rnacentral:rRNA from 1 species
CCUACGGGGGGCAGCAGUGGGGAAUAUUGGACAAUGGGCGCAAGCCUGAUCCAGCCAUGCCGCGUGAGUGAUGAAGGCCCUAGGGUUGUAAAGCUCUUUUGUGCGGGAAGAUAAUGACGGUACCGCACGAAUAAGCCCCGGCUAACUUCGUGCCAGCAGCCGCGGUAAUACGAAGGGGGCUAGCGUUGCUCGGAAUCACUGGGCGUAAAGGGUGCGUAGGCGGGUCUUUAAGUCAGGGGUGAAAUCCUGGAGCUCAACUCCAGAACUGCCUUUGAUACUGAAGAUCUUGAGUUCGGGAGAGGUGAGUGGAACUGCGAGUGUAGAGGUGAAAUUCGUAGAGAUUCGCAAGAACACCAGUGGCGAAGGCGGCUCACUGGCCCGAUACUGACGCUGAGGCACGAAAGCGUGGGGAGCAAACAGGAUUAGAUACCCCUGUAGUC